UACAGAGGUCCCGAGCGUUGUUCGGAUUUACUGGGCGUAAAGAGCGCGCAGGCGGCUGGUCAAGUCCGAUGUGAAAUCUCCCGGCUCAACUGGGAAACUGCAUCGGGAACUGAUCGGCUUGAAGAUGGGAGAGGGUAGUGGAAUUCCCGGUGUAGUGGUGAAAUGCGUAGAUAUCGGGAGGAACACCAGUGGCGAAGGCGACUACCUGGCCCAUUCUUGACGCUGAGGCGCGAAAGCUAGGGGAGCGAACGGG
rnacentral:rRNA from 1 species